CCGCAUGUCCAUUUCUCUCAUUCCCCCUCUCACAAACUGAAAUUUUCAUCUCCCUCCCACUCGUGAGAUAAAAAACCUAAACCAUCCCCUCUCUCUCGAUCUCCCGCGCAUCCCUUUCUCUCUCUCAAUCUCUCAAACCCUCUCUCAUGAAUACUCCCCUCUCACAAACCCAUCUUCUCUCCCCAGCCACCCUGUCUCUCAAUCUCAUGAAGACUCCCCUCUCACGACAUAAUCCACGUCCAUUUCAGCAUGUUAUGUCAGAAUCCUUUGAGCCAUCACCUUUCAUGCCUCCUGUUACCAAGGGGUUCAAUAACGACUUUGAUACAACGACUAGUAGGCAACAAAGAAGCCAACUACUGCCUUAGUUAGAUCAUUAACUAGUGAAAAAGACGCCGGUUCGAAGGAGAGCAACUUGGUGAAGAUUAGAUAAAAGUUGUGGUAUGUUGCUUCCAUUCUUUACUACUAGCCACUCACCAUCUGAGACGUUUGUCCACUAAGCAUGGUAAAUGUUUUGAUCCAGAAAACUUGGUGGUGCUCAUAUGCUACCUACUUGCUAAAUUUUUAUUGGGAUCCAUUGUAUUGACACUUAACAUCAUGGUUUCAUACAAGAAAGUAGUCUUGAUUUUGAAUUAACUCUUGAAAUCAUGGAUUUUUUCUUUCUGCAUCAUAGCUUUUAUCUGCACUGCAUCUAUCACAAACUGUAAUGCCAACUCAUUGGUGGUUUUUUUUAUGUUUUGAAUAUUUGAGAGUGCAUGCCAAAUUUAUUGAAAUUGUCAUUUGUGAGCAAAAACUGAUCUGUUGUGCAUGCAACUGUUCCACUGAUGCAAGCUGAAGUGGUUGUUGCUCCUGCUUAUUUAGAAUCCCAAUGAUUUUUGCAUGUUGUUCCAGUUUGCAUGCCAGGUUCGAAAAAGGCCUUUGAACAAGGAGCUGUCUCGAAAAGAAAAGGAUAUUGUAACCGUCUAUGAUAAUGCAUACUUAACUGUUCAUGAGCCAAAGCUAAAGGAAUUGAAGUUUUAAACCAAGAAAAGGUUUGAUUUUUAGAUUGAAUGUGUUAGAGCUUGUGGUUUAUUUAUUUAUUUUUCUUUCAAAGGUUUGGGUCUGAUAUUGGAAUCAAUGUUUUUUUUUUUCCAGUUGUUUUAUUAAAAAUGAGAUCGAUAAACUAUUGAUGGAGUUCAGAUCUUUGAGUGCUGGUGGAAUUGCAAAUGCAUCCAAUUCUGUGACUAGCAGAUCUAAGUCGGAUGGAGGCCA